rnacentral:rRNA from 1 species
UACAGAGGUGGCAAGCGUUGUUCGGAAUUACUGGGCGUAAAGGGCGCGUAGGCGGCCAUCUAAGUCAGACGUGAAAUCCCUCGGCUUAACCGGGGGAACUGCGUCUGAUACUGGAUGGCUUGAGUUUGGGAGAGGGAUGCAGAAUUCCAGGUGUAGCGGUGAAAUGCGUAGAUAUCUGGAGGAACACCGGUGGCGAAGGCGGCAUCCUGGACCAACACUGACGCUGAGGAGCGAAAGCCAGGGGAGCAAACGGG